GCCCAGCUCCGCUGCAGCCCAGCCCACCUACCUAUGCGAAGCGGUACGCGCCGCGCCGCCCGUGCCCGAUCCGCCAGCUCGCCUCAGCCGCUGUCCCGCGGGCCCCGCUCCCCAUCCCCUUCCCCGAGUCGGACGAACACGCGCACAUCCGCACGCGCACCCGACGCCGAACCGGAUCGAGCUCGCAUGCCCUGGUUGAUUCCGUGUGCUCCAGGGACUGCGUACGCGAGCAAAGGACCCCAGGGAAACCCCGCACCCCCUGUCCCGAUCUUCCCCGUUGCCACACGCCCUGGUUGGGGCGAUUGGAUCUCGUCCCGGAGCUCUGCCGUCCGCCGCCGCUCGCCGGAGGUUUUCGCCACCAGACCUAGCGGGGAGAGAGGAACAAGCUCGACCAACGUUCGCCGGAGCACACCCGCCGUUCUUGUCGCCGUUGCUGCCCGCAAAGGACGCCCCGUCGCCGUCCGACCUCACCACCGCCUCCGCCUCCGCCGCUCGACGCCGCACCCACCCAUCACUUCCCCUUCACCGGAGACUCGCCGGAGAGCCGCCACCGCCGACGCCCGAGACCGUCGCCGCCGUCCUCUGCUUUUGAUUGUCCGGAGUGCGACGCGAGCUAUUGUCAAGAGUGUGACUUUCUGAACCAGAACCAAG